GCGGGGACCGGGCCGGGUAUAACCAUGCAAGUCGAACGAUGAACCCACUUCGGUGGGGGAUUAGUGGCGAACGGGUGAGUAACACGUGGGCAAUCUGCCCUGCACUCUGGGACAAGCCCUGGAAACGGGGUCUAAUACCGGAUACGACCACUUCAGGCAUCUGAUGGUGGUGGAAAGCUCCGGCGGUGCAGGAUGAGCCCGCGGCCUAUCAGCUUGUUGGUGAGGUAACGGCUCACCAAGGCGACGACGGGUAGCCGGCCUGAGAGGGCGACCGGCCACACUGGGACUGAGACACGGCCCAGACUCCUACGGGAGGCAGCAGUGGGGAAUAUUGCACAAUGGGCGAAAGCCUGAUGCAGCGACGCCGCGUGAGGGAUGACGGCCUUCGGGUUGUAAACCUCUUUCAGCAGGGAAGAAGCGAAAGUGACGGUACCUGCAGAAGAAGCGCCGGCUAACUACGUGCCAGCAGCCGCGGUAAUACGUAGGGCGCAAGCGUUGUCCGGAAUUAUUGGGCGUAAAGAGCUCGUAGGCGGCUUGUCGCGUCGGAUGUGAAAGCCCGGG
rnacentral:rRNA from 1 species